UCCUGACCGCAUUCGGGUCGGGUCAAAUGCGGGUCAGGAUAUUUAAAUCAAAAAUUUUCAGAAAAAAACAUUUUAACCACCAUUAAAAAAACCAGAAACCCUCUUAUUUUCCUCUCAAACUUCUGACUCUUGGGGUUCUGUUCGCGCCGCCGUAGCGCUCGCCGCACCGCCACCGUUUCCGACGGCCGAUGAAGGGUCAGAACGGGCGUUCGAAGCCCUGGCCGGCAUUGACGGAGACGUAUCAGCGAACAGGUGGAGCAGAGGGCAGGUAUGGCAGCAGCGUACGGCGCACAUGGGAGCAGCAAGGGAUGCGGCGCCCUAGGUUUGGGGAUUAGGGUUUUUUGCUGAAAUGUUUUAGGUGAUUGGGCCAUUGGGCUUGCUAUUUUUUUUGUGUUUAAUUUAGUUUGUUGGGCUGGGGCAAAUUUGGGCUUUGUACAAAUAUGAUUAUGAAAUUAAAACAUAAUAAUUUUAAUUUUAA